AGCAGAUCUGUAUAGAUAUGUGGAAAAAUCUACCGAUGUCCAGAGUUAGAUCAGUUCUGAGAGAUAACUAAAGACUUUACCAUCACUGCAUCCACACUGCUACAGUCUACAUCAUUUUAUUUAAUCGAUAAUCCAGGUUGGACUGGACAUGCUGGGAGAAAGCUUUAUACAUGUUUUAAAAUACAGACAAGAUGGAAGUUUCGCACCAGAUACUGCCAGAGCAUCACUCACUUCCUCUACUGACAGUGGUUAUUAUUCCUCUCCUCACUCCCAGGUGAAAGACUCACCAGCAUCCCAGAAGCCUCCAGUCUCAGACGUGAUGCCAGUAGAGAAACAGUCAGGAUCUCAGGGUCCGCACCCCAGCUCUGACCCGUACUUCUGCAAUACCUACGCAAAUCUGAGUCAGAGCCUGCCAACCAGCAAUGCCUUCAACGACACCUACCAGACCUUCCCCGACCUGCCUCUGCUCAGCAACUCCCACAGCCAGAAGGACCUUCACUCCAUCAGUCCACAGCAGGGAUGGCUCACGACAGACGUGGAUGAAUCCGCACCCCAGCAGCUGCGCUUCAUACCUGAGCAGACCCACCUGCCUGACAACGGCUACCUGGUGAUGGACAGCAGCAUCAUGCUGAACGGGGAGCCUCCCACCAACUCCAUGAUCAACGGUUACCUGGACAGGAAGCUGCAGGAGGUGUACAGCCAGUACCUGCAGGAGAGGCUCACCUGCCCUGGAUCUUCUCCAGGCUACAGCCUGCUCCCUCUCCUCCCUCAGCCCAGCCUGCCUCCCCUCAGUCAGCAGAACUACCCGGAUUCAAGCCUGGACCCUGAGACCAGACCGAGCCAGGUACCCCCCCUCACCACCAGCCAGGGGAACCUCAGCCAGAGGGCCAGCUCCAACUUCAGCUCUCCAGUACUGAGAAUUUCCAACGCAGAGCAGCCCAGAAGACCCGGACACUCUGACUGUCUGCAAGAAGGGCUGUAGUAAAGUUUGUAGUAAAGUUUUUUUCAGUGACUUUUAAUGAGAAUAAACUUAAUUACAACCAUUUAUUUUUAAAACUG
rnacentral:lncRNA from 1 species